UUGACUCCUGCAGAGCAGCAGUUACAGUAGAAAGACAAGAAGGAGCAGGUUGGAGUUCUGGUGCCUAGAUUCUCUAUUUGAUACACUGAGAAGGCUUCUCAGCCUGACAUCCAGCCCAGCAGAGAAUUUCAACAGGCCCGGCGACAGGGAAUGGCAGCGGUUGGCUCUGAGAGAGGGGUGGCUUCCAUUUCGUAGAGGGCUGCAGCAGCACCUUGGGACUCUGCGCUUGGUCGCACGACAACUGACUGCUAACGAAAAAACACCCACCCUACAGGAAAGUGUUCUGGACCACGGGAUGUUUGAAAAUACUGUAGUACUUCUCUCAGAACACACGCCUGGAAACAAAAGGACUCCAUC